GGUGGGGGUUGGAGGCAUGGGUUUUAGAACCUAUCCCUUUCUAGCCCUGAGCA
ensembl:miRNA